rnacentral:rRNA from 1 species
AGCGGCAGCAGCUCAAAUUUGAAAUCUGGCCCCGGUGGGCCCGAGUUGUAAUUUGGAGAGGAUGCUUCGGGUCAGGCGACGGUCUAAUUCGCUUGGAACAGCGGGUCAGAGAGGGUGAGAGCCCCGUCGAGGGGCCGUCGGCCGCGCCCGUGUGAAGCUCCUUCGACGAGUCGAGUUGUUUGGGAAUGCAGCUCCAAGCGGGUGGUAAAUUUCAUCUAAAGCUAAAUAUGGGCCAGAGACCGAUAGCGCACAAGUAGAGUGAUCGAAAGAUGAAAAGCACUUUGAAAAGAGAGUUAAACAGUACGUGAAAUUGUUGAAAGGGAAGCGCUGGCCACCAGACUUGGGCGCGACGGUUCCCCCGACCCCCCGGUCGGGCUACUCCGCCGCGUCCAGGCCAGCAUCGGUUCGGGUGGUCGGUGAAAGGUCUCGGGAACGUACCGACUCUCCGGGGUCGACUUAUAGCCCGGGGCGUCAUGCGGCCCACCCGGACCGAGGAACGCGCUCCGGCUCGGAUGCUGGCGUAAUGGUGGUCAGCGGCCCGUCUUGAAACACGGACCAAGGAGUCUAACCGCUGUGCGAGUGUUUGGGUGUCAAGCCCCGACGCGGAAUGAAGGUGAACGGAGGUCAGAACCCCCCGCGGGGCGCACGAUCGACCGAUCCGGAUGUCUUCGGAUGGAUUUGAGUAUGAGCAUGGCGGUUGGGACCCGAAAGAUGGUGAACUAUGCCUGGAUAGGGUGAAGCCAGAGGAAACUCUGGUGGAGGCUCGCAGCGGUUCUGACGUGCAAAUCGAUCGUCAAAUCUGGGUAUAGGGGCGAAAGACCAAUCGAACCWYYGKRGUGGUCGCACCCCU